UGAGUCAGAAACCGUUGAUGUAGGCGAAGGACAUGCGAAAGGUCCGGCGUAGAGGGUAAGACCCCCGUAGCUGAAACAUUAGCGGCUCGCUUGAGAACCCCCCAAGUACCCCGGGGCCCGUGAAAUCCCGUGGGAAUGUGGCGGGACCACCCGUUAAGCCUAAAUAUUCCCUGGUGACCGAUAGCGGAUAGUACCGUGAGGGAAUGGUGAAAACUACCGCGGUAGCGGAGUGAAAUAGUACCUGAAACCGUGUGCCUACAAGCCGUGGGAGCGUCGCUGUCAUCUUUGGAUGGCAGUCGUGACUGCGUGCCUUUUGAAGAAU
rnacentral:rRNA from 1 species